GAUGAACGCUGGCGGAAUGCUUUACACAUGCAAGUCGAACGGUAGAGGGGGCAACCCCUCGAGAGUGGCGAACGGGUGAGUAAUAUAUCGGAACGUGCCCAGUCGUGGGGGAUAACGUAGCGAAUGUUACGCUAAUACCGCAUACGAUCUAAGGAUGAAAGCGGGGGAUCGCAAGACCUCGCGCGAUUGGAGCGGCCGAUAUCAGAUUAGGUAGUUGGUGGGGUAAAGGCUCACCAAGCCAACGAUCUGUAGCUGGUCUGAGAGGACGACCAGCCAAACUGGAACUGAGACACGGUCCAGACUCCUACGGGAGGCAGCAGUGGGGAAUUUUGGACAAUGGACGCAAGUCUGAUCCAGCCAUUCCGCGUGCAGGAUGAAGGCCCUCGGGUUGUAGACUGCUUUUGUACGGAACGAAAAGGUCUCUCUUAAUACGGGGGGCUCAUGACGGUACCGUAAGAAUAAGCACCGGCUAACUACGUGCCAGCCGCCGCGGUAA
rnacentral:rRNA from 1 species